AGUUGUCAAGUUAUCAAAUCAUGAAAAUAAACAAAACAAAUUGAUAUUUGAAUGUUUUGUUGUCGAAUAAUUUAACUUCAGACAUCUGUAACCGUCAGAAGAAUGUAUGAUUUAACACAAAUUAAUUUGAAAAACCAACUAAUAAAAUUUAAUGUGUGACGUCGAUGAAAUAGAGUAUACUUCCAGUCCAAAUAAAGGCAAGAUUUAAAAAUUCAAGGUAAGAAUAUAUUUUGUAUCGAGGAAAAGCAAUAAUAUUUUACACUAUUAUUAGAAUAUGAUUUUAGAAAUUAUUUUCUUGUCAAUGUCGGCGUAAUUUAACGCAACCACAAGUAUUGUGAUAAAAAUAAAAUAUGGUGAAAAUAGCUGGAUUAGCUUCGAGUAAUCAGCCAAAGAAACAUACAAUUAUAUCGUUAAGAUCUUUGUAUGUUUUAUUAAAACAAUUUGUUGUGUAA